CCAAAAUAACUCCAAGUACCGUAACUGAGCUCCUUUAACAAAGCAAUUUCUCAAAUCUUUUGUCUUGUUUUAUUCGGUUUCAGGCCACUUCAACCUGUUACGGUUGGGAUUAUGAGAAGUGACAACUCCAGUUUAUCACAACUUUAAUUUGCUAUUUUGCAGUUGAUCGUGAAUCCUGAACAAAGAAUAACGGCUUCUCAAGCUUUGCGCCACGAGUGGAUAUCUAAAGGAGAUGUCAUCCCCUCCCUCCACAAGCAAACAACGUUUGUUCGACUCACAGCCUUUAACGCGAGAAGAAAACUCAAGGGAGUAGUGUUGGGGCUUAUCGCUAGGAAUAGGCUCACCUUCACACCCGGCCAAGAAAACAUAGUUCGUCUGACGCGGAAGGAUUCCUAUACACCGGACCCAGAAUUAGAACAUGAAGUGCAAGAAAUUCUAUCACACAAAGAACACGAGGAAGAAAAGAGACUUGAAAAAAUCGACGAAGACGUCAAUGGACUUGGCAGCGAUUUAGCCAAAACACCGAAGGAAUAUCACCUCACUGACUUAAAACCCAAAAGAUCAAGAGCUUUUAGGAGUUCAGUUUAUAUUAAAGUAAAGACUGGAGAAGGAAAGGCAAGAGACAGAGUAGGCAAAAAAAUACCAAACGAUGACAGCUAGUUUUAAUAUUCUGGAUAAAAGUAAAAAUAUUUUAUUUUAUCAUUAUAAACUCCUGAUGUUGAAUCGUAAAGGCCUUUUACGCGGGGUAUGUAUGUCUUCUUGAGGACUUUCCUUGAAAAGCUCACGUCAAAGUUAGCUACACUCACUCAACAACUCAGUAGUAUUGUAACUUGGAAAUAUCAAUUACGCAAUCCUUUUGAGCUAUAUACCGUGAAAACCGAGACUGUCCCAUGUGAUUACUUAAUAAGUUGGGAAGAAGCACAAACUGCUCCCUUAACGAGGCUGCUCCCUCAUUAACCCGAACGCCCUGAAGCGACUCGUGACAACCCCUCAAGCGGUGUUAGAUAAGUCGAUAGAAGCCGAGAGAAUUAAAGCAUUCUCUUUGCAUUGGUAUGAUCCAGUGAAUACCAUAUAACUUAUUUAUAUUGACAGUUUUGUUUUCAGCUAUAUUUCGGCCAUAUUAGGCCUUCCUCCGACCAAUAAAACUUGCCUACUCUGCCAUCAUAAUGAAACGGGGAAAUAUUUUGCCCUCAAGUAUGACGAGCAACCCCUAACAACUCGUUUCAUGCCAUUACCACCAUAUUUUAUUGAGCGGCCAACGACUCGAGGCUCUGCUACUAGCUUCUCUAAUAUCAGGCGUGCUCGUUCGUUUAGUUUUUGCAUUAUUCCUCGCGGACUUUAGGGCAAAAGAGAGACAACAAAAUACCGCUUGUACCCUUAUCUAAUGAUAUUUAGCAUUAUUCAAUGGCUGACUAUUGGCAAAUGCAGUCAAAAAGUGUUUUGCCAAGACUUGUUUUUAACAAUGAUAUAGAUUGAAUUUACUUUAAAAAAAUUGCUUUAUCUUGCCUUGACAUUUAUUUCAAACUAACUUAUUUUAAUGAGAAGCUUCAAAGUUAGAUGUUCAAUAUUUUUGGUUUAAAAAUUUAUUAAAUAGAAGAUAUAUUUA